AUGCUAGUCGAGCGAACGGACGAGAAGCUUGCUUCUCUGAUGUUAGCGGCGGACGGGUGAGUAACACGUGGAUAACCUACCUAUAAGACUGGGAUAACUUCGGGAAACCGGAGCUAAUACCGGAUAAUAUUUUGAACCGCAUGGUUCAAAAGUGAAAGACGGUCUUGCUGUCACUUAUAGAUGGAUCCGCGCUGCAUUAGCUAGUUGGUAAGGUAACGGCUUACCAAGGCAACGAUGCAUAGCCGACCUGAGAGGGUGAUCGGCCACACUGGAACUGAGACACGGUCCAGACUCCUACGGGAGGCAGCAGUAGGGAAUCUUCCGCAAUGGGCGAAAGCCUGACGGAGCAACGCCGCGUGAGUGAUGAAGGUCUUCGGAUCGUAAAACUCUGUUAUUAGGGAAGAACAUAUGUGUAAGUAACUGUGCACAUCUUGACGGUACCUAAUCAGAAAGCCACGGCUAACUACGUGCCAGCAGCCGCGGUAAUACGUAGGUGGCAAGCGUUAUCCGGAAUUAUUGGGCGUAAAGCGCGCGUAGGCGGUUUUUUAAGUCUGAUGUGAAAGCCCACGGCUCAACCGUGGAGGGUCAUUGGAAACUGGAAAACUUGAGUGCAGAAGAGGAAAGUGGAAUUCCAUGUGUAGCGGUGAAAUGCGCAGAGAUAUGGAGGAACACCAGUGGCGAAGGCGACUUUCUGGUCUGUAACUGACGCUGAUGUGCGAAAGCGUGGGGAUCAAACAGGAUUAGAUACCCUGGUAGUCCACGCCGUAAACGAUGAGUGCUAAGUGUUAGGGGGUUUCCGCCCCUUAGUGCUGCAGCUAACGCAUUAAGCACUCCGCCUGGGGAGUACGACCGCAAGGUUGAAACUCAAAGGAAUUGACGGGGACCCGCACAAGCGGUGGAGCAUGUGGUUUAAUUCGAAGCAACGCGAAGAACCUUACCAAAUCUUGACAUCCUUUGACAACUCUAGAGAUAGAGCCUUCCCCUUCGGGGGACAAAGUGACAGGUGGUGCAUGGUUGUCGUCAGCUCGUGUCGUGAGAUGUUGGGUUAAGUCCCGCAACGAGCGCAACCCUUAAGCUUAGUUGCCAUCAUUAAGUUGGGCACUCUAAGUUGACUGCCGGUGACAAACCGGA
rnacentral:rRNA from 1 species